GUCACACAGAGUGGGGGUCACCUGCAGGCUGUGUGCCUCAGGCACCACACUCAGCCUUUUUUGCCUCAGUCCAUGAGUCCUGAUUCCCAGGAGUCUUCUGUUGACCCCAGAUUGGAUUAAAGGGCCAGAGAAUAGGACGUGCCCAAGGCACCAAUGUCUAAGCAUCACCAAAAUGUCACUGGGAGGAUGGUGUGGGUUUGCAAAGCCUCUGAAGUGGGGAUGAGGUUCUGGAGAAGCCUGCUCCCAUGCGAGGCUCCAGGGAGGGUGGGCCCCGGUAUCUUCUAAGGAGGGUGACCCCGUAACUGCAGGGCUCUGUCUUACUGAGGUGGGGGGAUGCAAGUCUGGGGCCAGAGUGGAAUUGCUCAGGGUGGGCAAAGAAGGUUGAAGCUGCCACCCACAUCUUCCCUCCCCUUCUUCAUACAACACCUGCCCCUCUGCUACGUGACAGCUGAACACCUAUUUCAUUAAUCUUGGCUACCGAGGUGGGAGAUGGUUAGCUUGUCCAGGGCACCUCAGACCUCAGCCUUGAGCAGUGUUCACAGGGUGUGAUCCUAGCUGAAAUCAUAGCAUAGUAAGCCCUUAAGAUACCUGCUUGUAGGGGUCGGGGAGGCACUUUCUAUAAGAGACAGUCGUUAAGUCUCUACAGUUCUGGUGAGGCCUGAUCCACCCUCCCUUCUGCUUACCACAUACAGGCAUCUGCCCUCUGCUCCUGCUGGCCUCCAGAAGAAAAGCCCGCCCUGGUAGCCUGGCAUCCAACUGCCCGUGCUCUGGCCCCUUCUAAUGCCCCUGCCUCAUCUUCUGAUGCCCCUGACCACAGCCACCCUGAAGGACUCUCAGGUCUCACAUCCAUGCCUUUGCCGCGUUACUUCCUCUGCCUCAAAUGCACUUCUCCGCUUUGAUCAUCACAAAACAAACUUCUAAGCAUCCCUCAAAACCUAGAUCAGAGGUGCCCUUCUUCAGAAGCCUUCGAGACCCUUCAUGUAGCAGCUGGCCUCUUGCCCUGUGCCUUCUUUGUGUCCUGUACACUGUUCAACAUGAAGCAUGACUCUUGAUAGCAGGUGGCUUAAGAGAAAAAAAAAGUAUUUUUUUCCUUUCAGAUCGGUUUAUUUAAUGGAAACAUUCAGGUGGUAGAAUGACUUCCAACACAGCUGAGACAAAGGGUUAAACUGAGCCACUGAGACUGCUUCUAGCUGUGGACAGGCUCUGCCUUCCUUCAUGGAGACUUCGCUCCCUGGCAGCCCCCAGAACCUUCUCCGAGCUCAGCUCUACACUCCCAGCUUGAAGUUCAGCCCAAGGCUUCCUGCAAAAGUCUCAGGACUGAGUCUCAUUGGUCUGGUUUGGGUCACGGGCUGAGCCUGAGCCAAUUGCUGUGGCCAGGGGAUCGACAGCUCUGAUUGGCCCAGCCUGAGUCACAUGACACCCCUGGAGCCCAGAGACCAGAGUGGGAAGGGGCAGCUCCUGCAGGGAAGUUGGGGUCCUGGAAUCUGAGGCCAGGUGGGGACCCGGCAGCCAAAACCCACAGGUGCCUAUCACAGACCCCCUUGGAGCACUUUCCACCCUGUGCAAUUACUUGUUCAUAUGUCUCUCCUCCAGCUGGUCAGGAAUAAGCGUCCUUCUCACUUACAAUUCCAGAACAUCAUUCCAGCCUGAGGGAACAGCAGUCUAAUAAGUGGCCGUUAAGUUGUACUUUUGAGGCAUUUCCUUGCUGUGUGACCUACAUAGCAAGUAAAUCAGGGCAGAGUCUGACGAAGAUUUUUGUGACAUGUAUGUUAAGGUAACGCCUCCUGACAUUAAAAAAAAAUCACAAAUGGAUUGUUUUCUCAGUGCCUGUGUCCACACAGGGUGAGCCCACGUGUCCUUUGUGGAAUCCUCACGAUGCUUGGGGAAGGGGACUCCGUCCUUGACAGGUGAGAGCACUGAAGCCCAGAUGCCGUGAGUAGCUUAUCAGGGAGACACAGCCGGCUGGUGGCAUGGCUGGGAGUGAAUUCCCAGGACUUUCUGACGGUUUGCUGAAGGGGUUCUCAGUUCAGGGGGACAGAGGGAGGGUCUUGCGAUUGCCUUUGGGGCUUUUUGAAACUAUUCCUCUGUCUUAGUUUGGAUUCCCUCGGAGGCAGACCUGGACUGGAGGAUUCAAGUGCAUGCGUUUUGCCUGUGAGGGGAUCCAGGGGGCUCGGCCAAGAGACAGCCUGCAUGAGACGCAGAGGGCCAGGCAGCCAGGGAAGAGCGCUUCCGAUGUGGACCCUGCUGGGGGCAACUGGAGCGGAAUGCCGUGGAGCCGACUGGGGGUCAGGGAGGAACGGAGCUCAGAGCUGCCCUACCUGAGGGGCGAGGGAGCUGGCGUGCUUCCACCCCGACUCUCUGCAGCCAUUGGCCAGGGCUGCUCCCAGGGGGCGGUGCCUUGCCAAUAUGUCCAGCAGCCAGAAGAAGGCCUCGGGCACCGCCAGAUGGACCCUCGCAGGACACGUCAUGGCGGAGGCUGCUGCCACCCUUCUUCCCCCAAGCUGGGGGCCGCUGUGUAGACUCACAGGCCGAAAUAUCUGAAAUUGGGGUCAUCCUAGACCCUUAAUCAGAGCGGCUCAGGCGCCUGCCUCAUCCCCAGAGCCUGAGGGGCCCGAGGGGGAGGUGGCCGGCACACAGGAGGUGCUCUUGCAAUAUUAUUGAACACUGAUUUCUCUUUCUUCCCUAAAGUGCAGGGCAGGAACGCCACUUAGGCAACGUGAGAUGGAGCUGAUCAAGACCCGGAUCUGGUGGGAGAGCAGCCCUCUGGACGGUGCUCGCUGAGAACAGGGGCUCUCCGCACCAGCCCAGCAGCCGGCACGUGGAAAGUAAGUGCUCAGUAAAUAUCUGCUCAUUGGACGAGUGAUUGGAUCAUCUGAGAUGCGGUCUUGGACCCCAGACUCAAGGCUAAUGUGAGGCCACCCCAGAGUCUCAGAGCAAGGAACUGGCAAGUGAACCAAAUCACUGCAUAUGGAAGAAAUGAAUGAGUGAAUAAGUGAGUGCUGUGGUGAGAAGAGCCUCAGACCAGAGAUGAAGGCUUGGAUUUGAAUCCAGGAUUUACCACUGACUAGCUCUGACCCUCAGUUCACCAUCUAUAAAACGGAGAGAAUAAAACCUUCUGGGCCUGGCUGUUAUGACGGUGAAAUGAAAUUGGCAAAUACACGCCUAAGGCAACCGACUUACAGCACACGCUCAUGCCAGUUCGGUUCACCCUUCUCAUCUUAUAGCCCCGGGCACUUGGCACAGGGCUAGGCAUGUGUAUGGC